AAAUACCCAUCCUGCACUGGGAUAGCAUUAGGCAGGAUUGUAGCUUGUACCUCUGUGGAAGGCUUAGGUUAGUGAAUAAAACUUCAUGUGGCUGAUUUUGAAAAAGAAAGACUGCUAUAGAUUCUAAGUGGAUUGCAGAACUUCUGUGGGCUUGACAACUAGGGAGGCAUCACUGGCUGGAUAAGGAGCCAUCAUACUUCCACUGACAGUGACAGACUCCAGAUCAUCCAAAGGAAUUUACUUCUGCCUUCAACUGAUAAAGAAACAUACUGCAAAGAACACAUUCAUCUCCUCCACAGUAUUACACAAACCUUAAUUACAACCUCAGCAACAUUAGCAAAUAUUCAGGGUUGACACAAGGGAAACAGGACUUGGAUGUUCUUUGGAAAUAAAAAGGAUUGCUUCAAAGGUACCUGCCUCCAUCAUCAAUUUCUCCUCCCAAUGGAAACAACCCAAAGGGCCUCAAACUUUGGCUAAUUACUCAUGUCAAAAGGGGAAAGAGCUUCCAUUAAAAUAUUUCUUCAUAAAAGACCUAGAAGAUAAGUCCCUACAAGGUCUGCCUCUGCAGAGCAAGAAACUGCAUCGGCACUGAUUUCUCUUUUUGGCAAAUCUUUUGUCAUUUAUACUCAAUUGAAAAUAGAAAGAAAAAUUUGUAUUUCAAAGAAAA